CUCAAAUGAAUACCUGAACUUUAUCUGAAUUUACUGUUGAGAAUACUAAAUUUUGCGGGGUCCUAUAAAGUAUUAAAAAAUCGUUAAAAAUCUUUUUUUUUUUUGGGUCAAAUAGCCCCUCAAACAUGAAGAAUAAGAGUCCAUAAACAUAAAACUUGAGUAUCUCAUCCGAUUUGGAGUGUGAGUUUGAGUUUUCAGAUUUUAGGCAUACAAAAAGUGUUUCCGAAUUGCUAAUGUACAGAAAACUGAAGAUUAAGGUUUAAAACAAGAUGAAAAAGCUGAGUAAACUCCACGUCCUCCAUUAAAGCUUGUUGUAAAAGCUUGAGUUUGAAUUUUGAUUUUCUGUAAACAGGAGUGUGUAGUAUAUUGAAAGAUCGAGAACAUUUUGAGUUCACAUCCAAAAUUUGAAGCGAUUUUGGAGUAAUAGGACACCUGCAAAGUUCAGUAUGCUCAACUACAAAUUCAGACAAAAUUCAGGUCCCACAAUAGGUGACGUGACUAUACAAGGAAAUCAAGGACUAAUAAGAAAGAUUGAUGCCACGAAAUAAAGAAGAAAAUAAAUAAAAGCACAAGAAGGAAAGAAUGGAGCAAAUAAGAAAAGAAAUUAAGAGCAAAGAAGGAAAGAAAUAAAAAAAAGAAAUGGAGUCUAAAGAGUAGUCAAAGUUUUCUUAUAUGAUACAAUCUCAUUAUAAGGAAAGGAGUUACAUAUUUCCUCACAGGAAACCAAGUUCCAUUUGAAGAAGGAGUCCAAUUCUGUGAUAUUUUAGGGCAUGACAAAUCUUCAGCAUAUAUAUGGCAAGAAGAUCAUUGAGAGUCGCACUUAUUGCAUAUCCACAAAAUUAAUCAUCUUCAGAGCAAUAGCUAUCGGAGCAAAAACUACAGGAGUUCAUCAAGCAAAACAGAAAUCUGGUUCACAGUUUCUGUUCGAGUUUGCACAACUGAAUACUAAAGUGUGAGAAGUUUAAGACUAGAGUUAGUAGUCGUUGUUGAGUUCAUCAGUUGGAGUAAAUUAAUGAAUUUCGAGUCUGUAAUAGGAUAGAUUCUAAUUUGUAAUCUUUUCUAUUAUUGUUAUUUAGUUGUGAGUGUGAAUAAUAAGAAGCGAGUUUGGCUUCUUAUUUGUGGGGUGUUGUAACAAGAAGCGGGUUUGACUUCUUGUUUGUAAGGUGUUGUAACAGGAAGCGGGUUUGACUUCUUGGAGCGCUCAUAUAGUGGGUAGAACAGUUGGAGUAAACUGUGGAGUUGUGAGUUAAGAGUUAGGUUCUAGGAUUUCGGGGUUGUUAUCUUGAACAAAGCUCUUUGAAAUUAGUGAAUAUUUGUGGUGAAAUCC